rnacentral:lncRNA from 1 species
GGAACAAAGGAUUUUUUACGUGUUUCGUGUUGCUGUUUUUUCGACAACAUACCUGUCGACUGGAGUCCCUGGGGCCCGACUGCAUGGCCCAGGACGAGAUCACAUUAAAGCCUUUGACCACAGUGGAUUCUGGGAAGAGGGAUGCCAGAUAUUCUGCAUUUGACUCUGGAAACUGGUUCAGCCGUCUGUUGUUGCUGACGUCCACCAGUAUUUUUCCAGCCAGCAGGUGCUUGAUGUCCCAGAGGGUGGAAUAGUGCUCUCGGCGGAUGGCCAGGAACACGAUGUUGGCCUUUCCCAAUGCGUCCUCGUGAUGGGUCACGUCUACCACGUGCGGGAAGGAUUCUGCCGCUCUUUUGGGCUGUCGGCUGCCCACCACCACAUGGAAGCCACAGCGAAGCAGGCGGAGGGUCAAGCUUUUGGAGAAGUCGCCAGAGCCGAUGAUGCCAACCGUGGGCUUGCCGGAUCCCUCUUUGGAGCCAUUCUUCAGGCCAUUGGCUUGUCUCUGAUCUGAUGUGUGAAGACAGUCCUCUGCAAUGGGAAACACCUCUGGGUUGAUCUGCUUCAGUGCAGCGUCAGGACAGCAGCUCCAGGCCUCAGAACACAACAUCUUGUUCCUGACCAGAAUGGAGAAAGUCACUUACUGUGAGACGUGUGAUGCUGCAGACGGGCCUCGAGGAGGAGUGUGUGAGCACUCUUUAGCUGCAGCUUUGAGACCAGGAGUCAUCAUGCAUUUCUCUGAUGUGCUCUUUAUUUGGAUUGUGGCAUUGGGAACAUCUGAACUGAGCUCUGCAGGACCUCUUCAUGCACAGUGCAAAGUCGAGUGGUACUUCAGUCUGCCUUGCAGGAGUGUGUCUGAAUCUCUGGUCACACAGAUCAAGAAGUGGAGAACAUUCUCAACGUGCGCCACAGGAGGAGAGAAAUGUCUCUACAAGUUGCAGUCAGCAUCGACGCACUUCAUUUCCGCCAAACACACAACGCCAGUGAAGAAAUAUGUUGAUGACAUCAACUUCAGACUCACCUCCUAUGGGUUUUUUACACACUGUCAUGUAUCUGCCAUGUCAGUGUCAGAGACCUGGUAUGCCAUCACUGAUCACGGCACUAACUACUGUAACCUUUACAAUUUGAUUGAAGGAAGUGGAUUGACUGAAGCUCCAGGAUAUAAAGAAAUCACCAGUGACUUCCUGUGCACUCAGCGCUCAUCUGCUAACUGUACCAUUUACUGAGACAUCUUUAUAUAUAUUUUAAAAUCAUUUCUGGAUGUUUGUACCUGUAGUCUAGUAGAAUUAGAAAUAAGGUCAUGACAAUAGUCAUACAAUUGAAAAUAAAAGUACUUUUAAUCAACCUACGGUUUGUAAAAAUAAAAUGAGUCUGUUCUAAAUGUGCUUUACUGUACAUGUACACACAUAAAGCAUUCGUUGCAUUAUUCAUUUAUAUUCCUUAGCUUAGUCCCUUUGUUAAUC